AUUGAACGCUAGCGGGAUGCCUUACACAUGCAAGUCGAACGGUGUGGCGAACGGGCGAGUAAUGUAUCGGAACGUGCCCAGCAGCGGGGGAUAACUACGCGAAAGCGUAGCUAAUCCCGCAUACUUUUGGAUCGGCCGAUUACGCAUUAGCUAGUUGGGGGGGUGACGGCUCACCAAGGCGACGAACCGUAGCCGAUUUGAGUGGACGACCAGCCACACUGGAACUGAGACACGGCCCAGACUCCUACGGGAGGCAGCAGUGGGGAAUGUUAGACAAUGGGGGAAACCCUGAUCCAGCCAUCCCGCGUGUGCGAUGAAGGCCUUCGGGUUGUAAAUCUCUGGUGGCAGGAAAGCGGUACCUGAAGAAUAAGCACCGGCUAACUACGUGCCAGCAGCCGCGGUAAUAC
rnacentral:rRNA from 1 species